AGUGAACGCUGGCGGUAGGCCUAACACAUGCAAGUCGAACGGCAGCACAGUAAGAGCUUGCUCUUACGGGUGGCGAGUGGCGGACGGGUGAGGAAUACAUCGGAAUCUACUUUUUCGUGGGGGAUAACGUAGGGAAACUUACGCUAAUACCGCAUACGACCUACGGGUGAAAGCAGGGGAUCUUCGGACCUUGCGCGAUUGAAUGAGCCGAUGUCGGAUUAGCUAGUUGGCGGGGUAAAGGCCCACCAAGGCGACGAUCCGUAGCUGGUCUGAGAGGAUGAUCAGCCACACUGGAACUGAGACACGGUCCAGACUCCUACGGGAGGCAGCAGUGGGGAAUAUUGGACAAAGGGCGCAAGCCUGAUCCAGCCAUACCGCGUGGGUGAAGAAGGCCUUCGGGUUGUAAAGCCCUUUUGUUGGGAAAGAAAAGCAGCAGGUUAAUACCCCGCUGUUCUGACGGUACCCAAAGAAUAGGCACCGGCUAGGUUCGUG
rnacentral:rRNA from 1 species